CAGCCGCCACGGUAAUACGUAGGUCCCGAGCGUUGUCCGGAUUUAUUGGGCGUAAAGCGAGCGCAGGCGGUUUGAUAAGUCUGAAGUUAAAGGCUGUGGCUCAACCAUAGUUCGCUUUGGAAACUGUCAAACUUGAGUGCAGGAGGGGAGAGUGGAAUUCCAUGUGUAGCGGUGAAAUGCGUAGAUAUAUGGAGGAACACUGGUGGCGAAAGCGGCUCUCUGGUCUGUAACUGACGCUGAGGCUCGAAAGCGUGGGGAGCGAACAGGAUUAGAUACCCGCGUAGUCCCUGUCUCUUAUACA
rnacentral:rRNA from 1 species